rnacentral:rRNA from 1 species
AGAUUGAACGCUGGCGGCAUGCCUUACACAUGCAAGUCGAACGGCAACACGGGAGCAAUCCUGGUGGCGAGUGGCGAACGGGUGAGUAAUAUAUCGGAACGUGCCCAGUCGUGGGGGAUAACGCAGCGAAAGCUGUGCUAAUACCGCAUACGAUCUAUGGAUGAAAGGCGGGGGAUCGACAAGACCUCGCGCGAGUUGGAGCGGCCGAUAUCAGAUUAGCUAGGUUGGUAGGGUAAAAGCCUAACCGAAGGCGACGAUCUGUAGCUGGUCUGAGAGGACGACCACGCCACACUACGGAACUGACGACGACGGUCCACCGACUCCGUACGGGACGGCAGCGAGGUUGGGGUAACUUUUGGGAACUAAGUGGGACG